UGGUGGCAAACAAAGACGAAAAAACUGACAGAAUCGUGCAUGAAAUGCAAUCAAGUUGUCAGCAGCGCAACUGUUUUCCCGGAUUUUUAUGGCCGGGAUACCGUAUACGAAAUGGACGAGAACCGGAAUUGUCUCCCGGCUAGGGUGCUGCAAUGUUCAGGGGACUUCGUCAAAGCGCCGGCUGAUGGCGAAUCGCCCUAGAACAACAUCCAAGGACUGGUUGAACAGGAAUAUGUAAGCCAGUUCCGGUUCCGCAGGAAGAAGCCGCGCAACGGCUACCCCGAAGAAGAAAAUUUUGUUUUCGCAUCUCGUUCGAUCCUUGGGAAAAUUUCUUCGAUCAUCCGUGCCGUGUACCUGGUCCGUGUCCUGCGAGUGAUAUAAUAUGUCAAGAGGAGCAUUCGAGACACAACAAUCAACAUCCGGGCCAAUGAGGCUGAUUUAUAAUGGGUCGCAGAUUUUGGUGCUUCGAUUGUUGGUUUUGGCUUCGAUUAGUUGCUGCUGCCAGAAGAGCUGUCCCGCGGAAACCAAAAAAAUGAAAAGGGUGGAAUAAUUUGAUAUGAAUAUAA